UACGGAGGGUGCUAGCGUUGUUCGGAAUCACUGGGCGUAAAGCGCGUGUAGGCGGUCCGUUAAGUCUGAUGUGAAAGCCCGGGGCUCACCCCCCGGAAGUGCAUUGGAAACUGACGAACUCGAGUCCCGGAGAGGAGGGUGGAAUUCCUGGUGUAGCGGUGAAAUGCGUAGAUAUCAGGAGGAACACCGGUGGCGAAGGCGGCCCUCUGGACGGUGACUGACGCUGAGACGCGAAAGCGUGGGGAGCAAACAGG
rnacentral:rRNA from 1 species